rnacentral:rRNA from 1 species
GCUAAGGCCCCAAAAUGAUUGUUAAGUGACAAAGGAGGUGAGAAUGCAGAAACAACCAGGAGGUUUGCUUAGAAGCAGCCACCCUUUAAAGAGUGCGUAAUAGCUCACUGGUGGAGCGUUCUUGCGCCGAAAAUGUCCGGGACUAAAUGAUCUGCCGAAGCUGUGGGAUAUUUCAAAAAGAAAUAUCGGUAGGGGAGCGUUCUGCUGUAGGGUGAAGCGGUUAUGUAAGUAACCGUGGACGAAGCGGAAGUGAGAAUGUCGGCUUGAGUAACGCAAACAUUGGUGAGAAUCCAAUGCCCCGAAAACCUAAGGAUUCCUCCACUAGGUUCGUCCAUGGAGGGUGAGUCAGGUCCUAAGGCGAGGCCGAAAGGCGUAGUCGAUGGCAAACAGGUUAAUAUUCCUGUACUAUUUUAUGUUUGGUACCGAGGGACGGAGCAGGCAGAAAUUGGCCGAGAGUGGAUUUCGGUGGAAACUAUCAACACGUUGAGAGGUAGAAGAAAAACUAACCUUGAGUGGAGAAGUGAUACGUCUUUAUCUUUUAGAUAAAGAUCAGUUGACUGUCAUACUUCCAAGAAAAGCUCGAACUACUGUAAAACAUAAAAUACCUGUACCGUAAACCGACACAGGUGGGUUGGUAGAGUAUACCAAGGGGCGCGAGAUAACUCUCUCUAAGGAACUCGGC